AUUGAACGCUGGCGGCAGGCUUAACACAUGCAAGUCGAGCGGAGAUGAGGUGCUUGCACCUUAUCUUAGCGGCGGACGGGUGAGUAAUGCUUAGGAAUCUGCCUAUUAGUGGGGGACAACAUUCCGAAAGGAAUGCUAAUACCGCAUACGUCCUACGGGAGAAAGCAGGGGAUCUUCGGACCUUGCGCUAAUAGAUGAGCCUAAGUCGGAUUAGCUAGUUGGCGGGGUAAAGGCCUACCAAGGCGACGAUCUGUAGCGGGUCUGAGAGGAUGAUCCGCCACACUGGGACUGAGACACGGCCCAGACUCCUACGGGAGGCAGCAGUGGGGAAUAUUGGACAAUGGGGGAAACCCUGAUCCAGCCAUGCCGCGUGUGUGAAGAAGGCCUUAUGGUUGUAAAGCACUUUAAGCGAGGAGGAGGCUACUGAGACUAAUACUCUUGGAUAGUGGACGUUACUCGCAGAAUAAGCACCGGCUAACUCUGUGCCAGCCGCCGCGGUAA
rnacentral:rRNA from 1 species